UAUUUUUCUGAAACCAAAAACAAGCGAAGCUUAACCUGGUGGUGUAUUAUAAGCUUGGUGGGCCGCCAGGCUUAUAAUACACUGGCAGGAAACCCUGUGAUGUAAGUCCAUCUGUACCAGUGAAUUUAUUUGAUUUAAGAAUCUUAAUAGCUUCUUUAAUUUCGUCAUGUGGGAUUGGAGAGUCACAUAAUACUUUGUUUUGGUCACCAAUUGUUUCAGGAGAAUGUCUAGACUCAUACAAUGAUUUGUAAAGAGUUUCACAUAUGUUUGCAAUUAUUUUGGGGUCAUCAUAAUUGUGUCAUUUGAAUUUGCUUAGUGAUAUAAUUUUUUGUUUCUUUGCUUUUCACAUUUGAAGAAGUAGCUUGAAUUUUCUUCCCCCUUUUUUAAUCCUUUGGCCAGUGAAUGUAUAAGAGUCCCUUUCGCUUUUUUAAUAUAAAGUUGAUGAAGUUAAACAUUAACUUGAUCAGCUUCAGCUUUCAAGUUAUAGCUGAAGGGUUUGUAACUUGGCUCUCUUUAAGUUAAGGGCGUGUGAGUAAAUGUAAGUGUGCAUAAAUGCUUGUUUGCAAUGUUAAGAUGCGCCUCUCCUGUGUGUCCAAUAAGAGAAAAUUUAAUCAAAUAUAUGAACAUAUAAUAACUUAGAUUAAUGGAUAUAAUUCUUAAACCUGACCUCAAGUUUGUGAUUGGGGUGGAUCAUAACAAAACACACAUUUACACUGGUUUUGGAAUGGAUAAAGCAGGUUAAAUUGAAAAUUCUGGAAUUGCUCUUAUCCAAGUCAUGUUAAAAAUCUAUGGACUAUGCUUAAAAGCCCAUAUUUUACAUGAAAAGUUUAGGAGUGGUCAACUACCAAGCCAAGGUUAUGGCAGAAGCUAGAUGUUUGUUUGCAAUUUGCUAAUGACCAUUUCAUCAAAUAUUAGUGGGGGUGUUUGUUUAUAAAUGUGCCUAUUUGGAUUAUAAGAAACCCACAAAAAUUUCAAGCAAGUUGAACAUAGCUCCUUUCUAUAAAAUUAAUUAAAAUUUGUAGUAUUAUAAUCAUUCCACUGGGGAAAAAAUCAUGAAACGUCCUAAAUUAAUAUGACAUGCAGAUUAUGUAAAUAGUAAUACAUCUUAUUUAUAUAGCGCGUUUCAGUUCUCAAAACUCUUGAAACAACAUAAGAUAUACAUGAACAUAUUUGGCUUAAGUAAGACAGCAGGUCAACAUUGCAAAGACAAUACUGUUCUUUAUAACCAGAUGUUUUUGCCUUUGCUGUUACUUUUCUUUGUCCCUUUUUACCCCAGGAGGACUAGUUGAUGAAGUAACUGGAUCAAUCUACAAGACUGUAGCUGACGUCUUUGAUGAUGAUAACUGAGGCCAACCAUAUGUUGCCACCAUGUGGCCCAACUAAUACAUUUCACCUUCAUUUUCUUUUUUUUGAGUACCCUAUACAUUUGAUUAAUAAUGACUGAACAAAAACUGAAAAAUAAGCAAUAAUAUGUGUGUUUACUAUUGUUACUUGUCAAUCCGUACUUUUAAAAUGUUACUUUUAAUUUGCUCUGAAUUAUAUCUAAUAAAAAGCUAAAAUAUAUGCUUAGAGAUCAAUGUAUUGGAUAUAAAAUGCUAAAAAGUGAGAAUAUGGUUCCUUGCAUAUCUAGCCCUAACCUAUGAAUUCAGUUUGUCAAAUUACACCCACAAAUUUGAAUCUAUUUAAGUGGAAUUUUACAUGAUGGACCAACACUAAGAGCCACACAAUAUUGAAAUGGAAGGAAAGGUUUGGUUUUCCAAACUUUGUACAAAUAAUAAUACAUUUUCACUACAGUUUGAGACAGUACAUGAUACACUGUUCUAUCAAAAUAAAUGAUAAUCUUAUCCUGCAUAUUGUACUUUUAGCUAACAAUUUUAAUCUUUACCAUGACAUUUCUGAUCUAAACCUUCCAUAUCCUAAAAUCUGCAGUAUAACUGAAACCUUGUUUAGGUCCCCAAAAGGCUAAUGCAUCGAAGAAAAAAAAAACUUCUUUCCUUACCAAUGUACACAUGUGUAUAUAUAUAUCCUUUUUGGAUAGGGUUAGGGUUGGCUAGCUGCUUCAAUCAUUUCUGCAACUUAAGCUUGACCCUUAAAUUUAUUAUUACAUGAUUGCCGUUUGCACUUCACCUUAUUAGAUUAUUAGAUAAACCAGAAAUUGUGCAGACAAAGCAACAAACAUGUUUAGACUGUACUGUAUGUUUAGACUGUAUGUUUAAACUGUGUGUUUAAACAUACAGUUUAUAUUAACUUAUUAUACAGGUUUUGUAAUUGCCAUGUCAAUCUGUGAAACAAUAUAACAAUAUUUGUUUGUGUACAUUGCCUGCAGGACCCAGAGUAACCCAAGGAUAGAGAAUUAUUCUAAAUAAAUUCAAUAUUUGUUACUACACCUGA